GAUAUCUGGCGAACCGUUGCGGCCCGUGCUCGUUUCGGGCUUGUGUGCCGUGAUUGUUGUUUGUCAUCCUUCCAGAGAGUUGCGUCUACCAUUCACUUGGCCGGACGUCGCGAUCUGGAUCGAUUACUUUGAAAAAAUUAGAGUGUUUAAAGCAGGCUUACGCUGUGAAUACAUUAGCAUGGAAUAAUAAUAUAGGACUUCGGUUCUAUUUUGUUGGUUUCUAGGACUGAAGUAAUGAUUGAUAGGGACAGUUGGGGGUGCUAGUAUUCCGCGGCCAGAGGUGAAAUUCUUGGAUUCGCGGAAGACUAACUACUGCGAAAGCAUU
rnacentral:rRNA from 1 species